GCCCGAUAGUGGAAGCACGGCUAGUGUGUGUUCCUCUCACUUCUUAGUACAUUGCCUUUGUUCCUCUCUGUUUGUGUGUGUGUGUGUGUGUGUGUGUGUGUGUGUGUGUGUGUGUGUGUGUGUGUGUGUGUGUGUCUGUCAUGUGCAUAUGCCCUUUGUGUUAAGCUUCGAAGAAAAUCAACAAUACAGCCUUUCCUUCCUUUCUCCUUCUGCGUCAUUCUGUGUUUCACACUUCCCUUUUCCAUCGAUUUCCUUUCGUCUCACACACACUUUCUGUGAAGUUCACACACACACACACACACGCACACACACAUGUGCACUCUCACACACAUGCACACACGCGCGCCCACACAAGACAACAAGAAUUUCUGUUUGGUUGGAUGGAAGUUUUGACGGGGUUCCCGCUGAGUUUGCUCUUACUGACACUGGUGGGGGCUGACCAGAGCUGGUUACGGGAGGAGGUGGGUGGAUGUGUGUGACGUCAUGACAAGGCGUGCGCUCACACACAGCACCUCUUGCCUCAGCCAGUUACUCAUUCAACCACCUCUGGGGAACAGUGCUCUCUCUGCUCCAACAUUAUGCAGCGAUUGGCUAAUUUCUUCAAUCCUAUACGACUAAACUUUAACACAGUCUAGUAGCUUGCAAGUGCUACAUUUACGUGCCAGUUAUUCGAUCGACUGAAUAACAGACUGUUAAGACGACAGACAUUCUUCUGAGAAGUCUGAUCUGUUAGAGAUAAGAGAUAAGAGAUAUGGGGGAAUUGCAGGUCAAGGUUUACUUUCCCGUCUGGAUUCCUAAUAAGAUCGCCUGGUUCCUUGAGGUACUGCUUUUGGUGGCAGCUCUCCCUCUCGGCAUGGCCUCCCAGAUCAACCCCACCCAGAUCAACGCCACCUUGGGCCAGUCAGUGUUGCUGCCUUGCCUGCUCCCCCCUCCCCCCCCUCCUCUGACAGUCACCCGGGUCUAUUGGCAGACCGUUGUGCCUGACGGGGACGUGCCGGACCUGCUCCACUUCUUCAACAAGGGUGCGCCGGAGCUCGACCUUCAGGCCUUGCAUUACCAGAACAGGACUUUUAUAGACCCCCGUCAGCUGGCUGCUGGGAACUUCAGCCUGGAGCUGAAGAACGUGACGGAGAAGGACAACCAGACAAUCAUCCACUGCCUUUACUCCACAGAAGACGUCAGCACGGAUGAAGUCUCCCGCUUUACACUGAUGGUGGAGAAGCCUGUUGUAUCUACAGAUCCAGACCCCCACUCCCUCCCAGCCUGGGCUACUGGUGUGCUGGUGGUUCUUGCCUGUGUCCUGCUGGUCUGUGUGGCUGUCUGCACAGGUGAGGGCCUGUGUCUUCUCUGAUCUUGCCUGUGUGGGUGUCUGCAUAGGUGAAGGCCUGUGUCCUCUCUGUUCUUGUCUGUGUGGCUGUCUUCAUCGCUGAGGGCCUGUGUCUUCUUUGUUCUUUCACAAACUGUAGUUACUGUAGAGUAGCGCAGUGGACCUUAUUCACUAGACCAUGGUGUGGUUUAAUGCAUCUUGCCAGACUCCUGCUCUUGCUCCCGCUCCUGCCUCCACACUCCAGACAUGAUUCUUGAUUCAGUCUGUGUGGUAAAGGCAGGAAGACAGUGUACUUUACUGAAGCAUAAUAACUAAAUACUUUACUUUAAAAUACUUUACUUUAAAAGUGUGUAGGGAUUUUGUCAGUCCUUUCCAUUACAUUUCAAAUCACAUUUAAUAAUAAUGAAGUCCUGCUCAGUAUUACUUUUGUAAAAUUAUUGGCAGCAGUAAAAUAACACUGACCUGCUUAUUGUUAUGAGGCAUACAUAAGAAUGUUGAAUGUUUGUGUUUUCAAAACAGUUCAAAGAGUCCGAAGAUGGAAGAAUGCUAAUCGAAGAGCCAAUCGUGAGAGGGAGAAUGCUAAUGGAGGAGCCAAUCACGAGAGAGAGAAUGCUAACGGAGGAGCCAAUCAUGGGACAGAGAAUGGUGCAGCUUCUGGAACAGAGAAGGAAAAGGGGGUGAAUGGCCCACUGCUGAAGUCGCACACGUAGCUCAUCAUACACACAGCUAUGUGAUUUGUACUGUACCGAUGACUGUAAAAAGUAUGGACUGCAUGGCGUCAAGGUGAGAGUGGUGAAUUUGCACUGCCCUGCAUAGUUGCAC
rnacentral:lncRNA from 1 species